rnacentral:rRNA from 1 species
UACGUAGGCAGCAAGCGUUGUUCGGAGUUACUGGGCGUAAAGGGUGUGUAGGCGGUUCUUUAAGUUUGGUGUGAAAUCUCCCGGCUCAACUGGGAGGUGCGCCGAAUACUGAGGGACUAGAGUACGGGAGAGGAAAGUGGAAUUCCUGGUGUAGCGGUGAAAUGCGUAGAUAUCAGGAGGAACACCGGUGGCGAAGGCGGCUCUCUGGACCGAUACUGACGCUGAGGCGCGAAAGCGUGGGGAGCAAACAGG